CAGAACGAACGCUGGCGGCAGGCUUAACACAUGCAAGUCGAACGCGUGUAGCAAUACACGAGUGGCGCACGGGUGAGUAACGCGUGGAUAUCUGCCUUUUGGUUCGGAAUAACUCCGGGAAACUGGAGCUAAUACCGGAUGGUUCCUACGGGAUAAAGAUUUAUCGCCAAAAGAUGAGUCCGCGUACGAUUAGCUAGUUGGUGAGGUAAUGGCUCACCAAGGCGACGAUCGUUAGCUGGUCUGAGAGGACGAUCAGCCACACUGGGACUGAGACACGGCCCAGACUCCUACGGGAGGCAGCAGUGGGAAUAUUGGACAAUGGGGGCAACCCUGAUCCAGCCAUGCCGCGUGAGUGAUGAAGGCCUUCGGGUUGUAAAGCUCUUUUGGCGGGGACGAUGAUGACGGUACCCGCAGAAUAAGCCCCGGCUAACUUCGUG
rnacentral:rRNA from 1 species